rnacentral:rRNA from 1 species
UAGGGAAUCUUCCACAAUGGACGCAAGUCUGAUGGAGCAACGCCGCGUGAGUGAAGAAGGUUUUCGGACCGUAAAGCUCUGUUGUUGGUGAAGAAGGAUAGAGGUAGUAACUGGCCUUUAUUUGACGGUAAUCAACCAGAAAGUCACGGCUAACUACGUGCCAGCAGCCGCGGUAAUACGUAGGUGGCAAGCGUUGUCCGGAUUUAUUGGGCGUAAAGCGAGCGCAGGCGGAAGAAUAAGUCUGAUGUGAAAGCCCUCGGCUUAACCGAGGAAUUGCAUCGGAAACUGUUUUCUUGAGUGCAGAAGAGGAGAGUAGAACUCCAUGUGUAGCGGUGGAAUGCGUAGAUAUAUGGAAGAAUACCGGUGGCGAAGGCGGCUCUCUGGUCUGCAACUGACGCUGAGGCUCGAAAGCAUGGGUAGCGAACAGGAUUAGAUACCCUGGUAGUCCAUGCCGUAAACGAUGAGUGCUAAGUGUUGGGAGGCUUCCGCCUCUCAGUGCUGCAGCUAACGCAUUAAGCACUCCGCCUGGGGGAGUACGACCGCAAGGUUGAA